rnacentral:misc_RNA from 1 species
AUGAUCGAAAUUGGUUCAAAGACACAUCAAAAUUAUGGGAAAUCGCCAACUUUUCUCAAUAUGCCUCUAGAUGUCGCUCAACUUGUUUUGGAAAAGUUGGAGCUCGAGGAUCUCUGGAUGACCAUGAUAUCAAUAUGUAUUUGGACAGAAUUAGAAUCAACUAUACUGAUUCAGCAAAUGGUCAUUCAAAUGUCAAUUACAAUGAACAGAAAAAGGAAACUGAUGAAGAAAACUUUAUGGACAGUGCGGUCAAGGAUUUGAAGAUAGUAUUGAAGCACGCAAGUCGAGCUAGAAUUAUGAACUGUACAAAAAAUAUACGCGACACUGUUACAACUUUCGUUGAGUUUUUUAAAUCAGAAAAAUGUAUUCACGUAAAGAGAAUAGAACUUGAUAAGUUCUCAUUGGAUGAAGUGCUUACGAUUCUUCCAUUAUUUGAUUCUAAAGAGCUUAAAGCGAUUGAUUUGAAAUCGAUUGCAAUUGACCAAUUCGAACGAAUAUCCUGCUUGGAGCAAUGGAAAAAUGCAGAAAUAUGCACAAUUCGCUAUAGUAUUUUCGGUGCAAAGAUUGCUCAUUUCUUUCAUUUCAAAAGCUUCUAUAUUUACACAUUGGACAAAUUUAAAGCAAUACAAACCGCGAUACAAAUUCGAGACGUAAAAUAACCUUAUUUUUCAUUUCAUUAUCUUUUUUUGCAGGAUCUUUUGAGAAGAAGUACAUUUCAAUGGUGCGUGAUACGUUUUUUAAGACCAAACGCAAAUCCGAUUGAAAUUGCUAAAGUCUUCAAACCGGACUAUGCCGGCGGUAAGGACUUUAAGAUUGAAUAUUCAAAUGGCACCGACAAAUUCGAUAUUUCUCUUGAAUGGGAGUGGCUUGUAAAGUAUUUUGAAUUGAAUGUGAAAAGAUUGUAA